rnacentral:rRNA from 1 species
CUGCGGAGGGAUCAUUACACAAAUAUGAAGGCGGGCUGGAACCUCUCGGGGUUACAGCCUUGCUGAAUUAUUCACCCUUGUCUUUUGCGUACUUCUUGUUUCCUUGGUGGGUUCGCCCACCACUAGGACAAACAUAAACCUUUUGUAAUUGCAAUCAGCGUCAGUAACAAAUUAAUAAUUACAACUUUCAACAACGGAUCUCUUGGUUCUGGCAUCGAUGAAGAACGCAGCGAAAUGCGAUAAGUAGUGUGAAUUGCAGAAUUCAGUGAAUCAUCGAAUCUUUGAACGCACAUUGCGCCCUUUGGUAUUCCAAAGGGCAUGCCUGUUCGAGCGUCAUUUGUACCCUCAAGCUUUGCUUGGUGUUGGGCGUCUUGUCUCUAGCUUUGCUGGAGACUCGCCUUAAAGUAAUUGGCAGCCGGCCUACUGGUUUCGGAGCGCAGCACAAGUCGCACUCUCUAUCAGCAAAGGUCUAGCAUCCAUUAAGCCUUUUUUUCAACUUUGACCUC